rnacentral:sRNA from 1 species
CCGCAAUAGGGAUUGAAGUGGAAAUCCUUUUUUGUAAAAAAAAGAUUGAAAUAAAAAGCCCGCCCGAAG